UACGGGGGGAGCAAGCGUUGUUCGGAUUUACUGGGCGUAAAGGGCGCGUAGGCGGCGCCGCAAGUCGACUGUGAAAUCUCCGGGCUUAACUCGGAAAGGUCAGCCGAUACUGCGGGGCUAGAGUGCAGAAGGGGCAACUGGAAUUCUCGGUGUAGCGGUGAAAUGCGUAGAUAUCGAGAGGAACACCUGCGGCGAAGGCGGGUUGCUGGGCUGACACUGACGCUGAUGCGCGAAAGCUAGGGGAGCGAGCGGG
rnacentral:rRNA from 1 species